rnacentral:lncRNA from 1 species
AUGGGAAGGCCCGGGGGUCGGGCUCCAUGGAGACGCCGGGGAGUCCCGCGCGCUGCGUGGCGGUGGCGGUGGCGGUGGCGGUGGCGGCGGCGGCGGCGGCACAAUGCCCGGCGCGGGGAACUCCCCGGCGGGGGGAGGCAGAGGCGCGCGGAGAUCCCGGCCCCGCGGGGCGCGUCCGGGGAGGCAGCCGGAGCCCGCGCGGGAAACCAAGUGGAAAUCUCCCGCAUAUCAAGUAACGGGCAAAGCAUCCUCAGCCUUGGAGCAAGGCAGGCCAGGGAGCAUCUACACAACCGUGACCCUCUGUGUGGGGGAGUUUCUCUUGCCAUGGUGCACGUGUGCACGGAAAUGGAAGUGGCUUGGAGGAAGUAUUUCCGGUGGCUCUGCUGGUGCGCUUUGUAGAGGGUGACUUCUAGAGUGGCUGGGCUUGGCUCUUGCCCCUCUGGGAAUCUUCAGGAAGAGGGGACAGAAAGAAGAGGAAGUGCCUGAGACACAAGCAGGAAAGGUGUCAGGUGCCGUAGGGGCAGGGCUGCCAGGCGUACCCAGGACACCCAGGUAAACUGGAACCUCAGAUACACAAUAAUCACUUGGUAUGAGUGUGUCCCAAAGAUUGCACGGGAUAUACUUAUCCUAUAAUUUUUUUUUGUCUUCUCUCUGGAAUUAGUGUUUUACUGGUUAUGCUGUCUUACAUCUGGCAAGCCUGCAU